UACGGAAGGGGCAAGCGUUGUUCGGAAUCAUUGGGCGUAAAGCGCGCGUAGGUGGCUUCGUAAGUCCGUUGUGAAAGUCAAAGGCUCAACCUUUGAAAGCCGAUGGAUACUGCGGAGCUAGAGUACGGAAGAGGCGAGUGGAAUUCCUGGUGUAGCGGUGGAAUGCGCAGAUAUCAGGAGGAACACCAAUAGCGAAGGCAGCUCGCUGGGACGUUACUGACACUGAGGCGCGAAAGCGUGGGGAGCAAACAGG
rnacentral:rRNA from 1 species